ACCUCUGGGAUAGUUCAGUCCGUAGAGCACGAGACCCUUGAUCUCAGGGUUGUGGGUUCAAGCCCCACGCUGGGCA